AUGUCCAAACCAUCUCAGCCUCACCUCUCUAACUUUGUCUCUAAACCACUCGACCUGAGUUGUCAUGCCUAUCUGCCUGCACUCUUUUCUUCAUCUCUCUUACGCGCUGUCUUUGGAAGGUUGACCUGCACUUUACAACGUCAUCCUGUCCAGUAUUUUUAAAGACAGGAAUGUGCAAUGAAUAUACGGUUCAGUCAAAUAUGUUAUUGUUUGCCUUGCUUAUAAGUCAUAUGUUUACCUUUGAGGUUGGUGUGUUUUAAAUCUGCGAUUCUGUGCUCGAAGAACAAGCCAGUGAAUCGUGUUCUUUGUACAAAUACAGUGAGAACAUUAACAUCUAAAAUCUAGCUCAAUAAAAUUCUCAACCACAUUUACACCACAUCUCUAACGUGUUUCCUUUUCUCACUAUUCAGAGGAUCCUCAACAAGCUGUGGUGAGGAAAGGGUCAAAGGUCACCUCAGAGAGAGUGGUCCUGGUGGUUCUCGGUGUUCUCCUGUCAGCUGCUCUCAUUGCUCUGUGUUUUACCACAUUUGAAAUAAUUAAAACUAACAAAAAGGUCAAAUAUCUGGAAGAUGACAAAAUGAAGUGUGAUAAUAAUCUCACAGAGACUCUCUCUAAGAUAAAAUCAUGCAGCACGGUGCAGCCGACCUGUCCAGCACCUAAAGUAAUAGAUGAUCCUUGUU